rnacentral:pre_miRNA from 1 species
AUUGAGGGGAGUGUUGUCUGGUGCGAAACAAAAACCUCUGCUCUGCUUGCCCAGGUGGUUUUCGGACCAGGCUUCAUUCCCCUCAAA